rnacentral:lncRNA from 1 species
GGAACCUGUCAUGAUUAGUAGAAACAAGAAACAAAAUUCGAGAAUAAUGUUCCUAUGAACUACUAGGAUGUGGUUGUAAAGUGCUCACAGUAAAGCAAAUAUCAAUAUCUUACAAGUUCUUACCAUGCGGCAGGUGGUGACAGGCAACCAGCGAUGUCAAAUAACUCCGAAGAUUGUGUAAAGCGAUUGCCAGGGGAAUGUACAUAUACACGGUGUAGAAAUAUGUGGAGCUGGGUUGGCUAUAUAUGGUAGCAAAAGAUUAGCAAUAAUCAAUUUAGAGAUGCAAUGUUGAAUAAACGCUCAACGACGGUACUGUGCUGGUCCUAGGCUAGACCGGACUAGACACGCGAGCCUAUAACACUAAUGAGGUCACGGCGUAGCACAACUAGCAUCAAUCAAGGAUACUAAGUAGCUCUGGACAGCAAAAUAUAAGUGAAGAUCACAACGGUAGUGAAGAUAAUGAUGAAAAACAACUGCCAAGCAGGAUAUACAACAACUCUCUCCAACUUUCCUCUUGAAAAGUUUGAGCCAAUUUUCUGAUAAAUUUUAAAAAAUGCUACUAACUUAGGCUUUUCAACGCAAAAAGAAUCACUCAAUUCCAAAUUGAUAUGAGGAGUCAAAGAAUUCUAAAACUGGCCUGAAAAAUUGGAAAAAGCUGUGUUCACGAACUUCGAAGGGCAAAAAGACCUAUUUAGAAGCCGAUUUUGAGGUGUCAAAUAUUGAAAUGGCUUAUAUAACUAUUUAGAUGCGGCUUGUCGCUAGCUUUAAUUUGAGUACUCACGGAGCCAAAACGGACUUCGUAUGAGGAAGAUAUACCUGUUUUACUGAACAGUGCGCAAAACAGAUUCCAAUCCGAAUUCAGGUACAGGAUUGAUUCUAUAUAGAUCUGAUUUUUUUUCUUUUCUCUUCUCUCUUUUUUUUCCUCACAGUUUUUUCUUUUUCUUUCUCUCCUCUUUUUUUUCUCUGAAUUUUUUUUAACUUUUUUUUCUCUCCCUCUUUCCAAGACAAACUAGAUAAGAUGCAGAUUGGAUCAAGCGAAGAUGUGAACGACCUCAACUAUGAUUGUGACAAUGAACAAUGGGUAGCACAUGGUGGAAUUUGAUGGGUGGGUGGUGGACAGUGGAAGGGAUAACGAUGCAGCGGCGAUGUGACUAAUGUGAACAGAACCCGAAACUCUAAACGAACUAGAGACUAAGACCAACAACUCGACACGACGAUGCAACCGAUAAUUCAAUAAUGCAAACAAUGAAAAGAAAAUUGCAAAGGCUCAGACUGGCUUGGACAAAGGGUGAAUAGAUCUAACUUUUUUGUGGCUUUUUCUUGGACAAUAGGUAAGAAAAUAAAUCUAAUCUAGGGAAAACUGGAAAUUCUCACCGAGCAACCUGAAAACUGAUACCACUUGAUAGAGGUGGGGUGUCCCGAUCUUUCGAUGAGAUGAUAACUAUAGAUUUGGUGGAGACGACUUUGAUGAUCUAACUACAAACGUGCACGACGUUGCGCCUUAGCAAUCGCUAAACCAACUCCGAGAGGUUAUUGACCAUGCCGGAGCACAAUCAACCUGACCACGAAAGUUUAUUCCUGCAAGCAACCGAAGAACAAGCAAGAUUAUUAUAAAAUCAAUCUGAAUAUUGCGAGUAUAUAUGAAGUAUUGAUAAAGGUGGGGAUCCGUAAGCGGUCUCGGUCUGGUCGUUGGACACAAACGAAGUACACGAAGUUGCAUUGGCUAACUUUUAACUAAACAAAUCCCAAAGAAAAAGCUACUAGAUGGAUCUACUUAUAUAGGAGCAAGGGGUGCCUUCCAAAGAGGUGGGAGGACGUCCCAAGGCAGCCUAAAACUAACCCUAGGUCGUACAAGGCCAAUGGGCCCAAGUGGAGGUGACGUAACACCUUUGGACUUGUACAUUGACUCGGAUUCUGCUGCAUCGUUAGAUAGUUUCGUCCAUAACUCAACGCUCCGGACGGAUUUUAAGGUGAUUCCAAAUGGGUUAGAAAGAGCAUGAAAUCUACUUUCCAAAAAAAGAAUCACCCAAUUCGGAGUCUGGAUGAAAGAGUUCUUGGUGUCUUGAAUCAGGUAUGUCUGUGUAGUCUGAAUCUGAGUCCAGAACGUGAGCGACCUGGACUCUAUCUUCUCUUGGGCCAAAAGUGACGUGAGAGAACUUUUUGAACAACAAGUAAACAUCUCUUUCUCCCUUAUCUUCAUAUGUGUAUUGUACAAAUGUCCCAUACACCUGCAAUUAGACAUGGCACAAAAGUUUGUGAAGUAUUUUUGUCCUGGACGACAUAAAUAAAUUAUUGCAUAGUUUGCAUUAGAAAUCACCUCACAAAUAUACAUGUAUGCAAUAUAUUUGGUCAUAUCGUCCUCAUCAUCCUCCCCUUCUUGAAAACAAAGCCGUCCUCGGUGUUGCUUAAUCUGAAAUGUGGCUAACAAAAGAGACAAGGUGUACAUGUUGUAUAUGUAUAUGUCAUCCAUUUUUACUUCCCUUGAUUUUUGCACAUAUGACACAUGUAUACAUGAGUAAUUUUCAUAGAUCAUAAAAUAUAAAGCCAAAAUAUUAUCAUAAGUAGAAGGCAUGAAAAUAUUGCAACUCAGUUUGCACAUAUAAGUGAAGCUCUUAUUCAUAUCAAAAGAUUGACAAUAUUCAUCAUUAAACCAUCCCAACAUUGGUGAAUAAACCUUACUUGCAUCAAAUUUACAUGCUACAACAUGCUUAAAUAAGCAAACAUGCAAUAAGUCAUUCGGCACAGAAUCAUCACCAAGAUUAGAGGUCAUAUCAAAAUGAUUAAACAUUGAUUCUUUUGCAUCAAUAGUUAAUUCAAUGGGUGCACUCAAAAUUGUUGGUAUUUCAGUUGUUUGAUCACAUGACGCAUUCAUGACAGUAUCAAGAUUCUCUAAAAUAGGUGUUGUGCUCAAAUCACCAGGUAACUGAACACAUGAUGCAUCAUUCUCAUGUGAAGUUAUAUCAUCAAUACCUAUACUGUUACCUUGUCGCAAAGACGUAGCUGAUGUAGGUACGAACGUUGACAAUGCACCAUACUCUUGAGAUGAUGUCGCACUCAUAAUCCGAGGUGGGGCUGCUCUAGUAGGUGCUAUGGUGGAGGAACCAACCGGCGGUGGUGAGCACGAACAGGAAUAGUAGUUGUUGUAGUCACCCAAUGCAUCCUCCUGUAUCUGUCUCUCAAAGGUACAAGCACGAACAUACAUACCAGUAAUGUAACGAGGAAUAUACUGAAAUCGUGCCUGAAUAUCGUGGUUCAAACCACCAAAAAAUAUAUUCAUUGUAUCAUCCUUAGAUUCUUCUAUGUCACAAUGAUGCAUAUAAGAUUUGAACUCUUGGUAGUAAGCAUGAACAGUGUUGUUGCCUUUUUUAAAUUGUUCAAAUUUGCGAAGCAAUUCACGACGAUCGUAAGGAGGGGAAAAAUGUUAUCUCAUUACAUCUUUCAAAUCUUUCCAUGUUGUGGGUUGGUUAUCAAUGUUUUUCUUACAAUGCACACUCCACCAAACAGAAGCAAAACCAGUAAAUGCUCUAGUGGCAGCUCAUACUCGCUCAAGUUCAGAAAAGUCAUGGUUACUGAAAACUUGUUCUACUUCCAACUCCCAAGCUAGAUAAAUAGCAGGAUUAAAUCUACCCUCAAAUGACGGUAAACAGAUAACCUGACCAUGUGCGUGUGUGUGUUGUCCCAACUCUCGUGAUGGUGAAUAUGUGUCCGUCGUCCAAGAACUUCUAUCUUCGAAGCCUGUCAUGAUUAGUUGAAACAACAAACAAAAUUCGAGAAUAAUGUUCCUAUGAACUACUAGGAUGUGGUUGUAAAGUGCUCACAGUAAAGCAAAUAUCAAUAUCUUACAAGUUCUUACCAUGCGACAGGUGGUGACAGGCAACCAGCAAUGUCAAAUAACUCCGAAGAUUGUGUAAAGCGAUUGCCAGGGGAACGUACAUAUACACGGUGUAGAAAUAUGUGGAGCUGGGUUGGCUAUAUAUGGUAGCAAAAGAUUAGCAAUAAUCAAUUCAGAGAUGCAAUGUUG